rnacentral:rRNA from 1 species
CGGAACGCUCGACGCCUUGCUUGUCCACAAAAUUGCGACAUUAUCUCUGUAUAUGGAACGACUAUACGUGGUGGUUCCAAUGGGUUGUGGCAGGAUCAAACCAGGUACCCUUCGCGGGGGGUUCCCGGGCAACAUGGAUAACCCUGGUAAUUCUGAGGCUAAUACAAGAACGUACUCCCUGGGCAACUGGCCUUGGCUGGACGCCUGGGGGUCGUGCGAUACCUCGCGAGACUGCCAGGACUGGGCGCAUGACCGGACCGCGCUAAACACGGAUUGCCCCUUAAGCCUUCACGGGUGGCGGGGGUGGCUCGAGCGGCUCUUGCUGUGUGCUUCUGACCUAUCAACUUGAUGGCAGCGUAACGGACAUGCUAUGGUGGCGACGGGUACAGAGGAAAGGGUUCGA